rnacentral:tRNA from 2 species
GCCCGAGUAGCUCAGCUGGCAGAGCAGCUGUCUUGUAAACAGCAGGUCAGGAGUUCGAUUCUCCUCUCGGGCUCCA